GCGCGAAAAACUCUGCAAUAAGCGAAAGCUUGACAGGGUUAUUCUGAGUGAUUUCCGCUAAGGAAAUCUUUUGGCACCUCUAAAAAUGGUGCAGAAUAAGGGGUGGGCAAGCCUGGUGUCAGCCGCCGCGGUAAUACCAGCACCCCGAGUGGUCGGGACGAUUAUUGGGCCUAAAGCAUCCGUAGCCGGUUCUACAAGUCUUCCGUUAAAUCCACCUGCUCAACAGUUGGGCUGCGGAGGAUACUAUAGAGCUAGGAGGCGGGAGAGGCAAGCGGUACUCAGUGGGUAGGGGUAAAAUCCGUUGAUCCAUUGAAGACCACCAGUGGCGAAGGCGGCUUGCCAGAACGCACUCGACGGUGAGGGAUGAAAGCUGGGGGAGCAAACCGGAUUAGAUACCCGGGUAGUCCCAGCUGUAAACGAUGCAGACUCGGUGAUGAAUAGGCUUCGUGCCUUAUUCAGUGCCGCGAGGGAACGCCGUUAAGUCUGGCCGCCGUGGGGACGUACGGUCGACAAGACUAGAAAACGUUAAGGUAA
rnacentral:rRNA from 1 species